UUAAAUUGAAGAGUUUGAUCAUGGCUCAGAUUGAACGCUGGCGGCAGGCCUAACACAUGCAAGUCGAACGGUAGCACAGAGAGCUUGCUCUCGGGUGACGAGUGGCGGACGGGUGAGUAAUGUCUGGGAAACUGCCCGAUGGAGGGGGAUAACUACUGGAAACGGUAGCUAAUACCGCAUAACGUCGCAAGACCAAAGUGGGGGACCUUCGGGCCUCACACCAUCGGAUGUGCCCAGAUGGGAUUAGCUAGUAGGUGGGGUAACGGCUCACCUAGGCGACGAUCCCUAGCUGGUCUGAGAGGAUGACCAGCCACACUGGAACUGAGACACGGUCCAGACUCCUACGGGAGGCAGCAGUGGGGAAUAUUGCACAAUGGGCGCAAGCCUGAUGCAGCCAUGCCGCGUGUAUGAAGAAGGCCUUCGGGUUGUAAAGUACUUUCAGCGAGGAGGAAGGCGUUGUGGUUAAUAACCACAGCGAUUGACGUUACUCGCAGAAGAAGCACCGGCUAACUCCGUGCCAGCAGCCGCGGUAAUACGGAGGGUGCAAGCGUUAAUCGGAAUUACUGGGCGUAAAGCGCACGCAGGCGGUUUGUUAAGUCAGAUGUGAAAUCCCCGGGCUCAACCUGGGAACUGCAUUUGAAACUGGCAAGCUUGAGUCUCGUAGAGGGGGGUAGAAUUCCAGGUGUAGCGGUGAAAUGCGUAGAGAUCUG
rnacentral:rRNA from 1 species